AGUGAACGCUGGCGGCAGGCCUAACACAUGCAAGUCGAGCGGCAGCGCGGGGGCAACCCUGGCGGCGAGCGGCGGACGGGUGAGGAAUUCGUCGGAAUCUGCCUUUUUGUGGGGGAUAACGUAGGGAAACUUACGCUAAUACCGCAUACGUCCUACGGGAGAAAGUGGGGGACCGCAAGGCCUCACGCAGAAAGAUGAGCCGACGACCGAUUAGCUAGUUGGUGGGGUAAAGGCCCACCAAGGCGACGAUCGGUAGCUGGUCUGAGAGGAUGAUCAGCCACACUGGGACUGAGACACGGCCCAGACUCCUACGGGAGGCAGCAGUGGGGAAUAUUGGACAAUGGGCACAAGCCUGAUCCAGCCAUGCCGCGUGUGUGAAGAAGGCCUUCGGGUUGUAAAGCACUUUUGUCCGGAAAGAAAUCCCUGGAGCUAAUACCUGCGGGGGAUGACGGUACCGGAAGAAUAAGCACCGGCUAACUUCGUG
rnacentral:rRNA from 1 species